GGGGAUGUAGCUCAGCGGUAGAGCUCCCGCCUUGCAUGCGUGAGGCCCUGGGUUCAGCCCCU
rnacentral:tRNA from 1 species